rnacentral:rRNA from 1 species
UGCAGCAACGCCGCGUGAGGGACGACGGCCUUCGGGUUGUAAACCUCUUUUAGCAGGGAAGAAGCGAAAGUGACGGUACCUGCAGAAAAAGCACCGGCUAACUACGUGCCAGCAGCCGCGGUAAUACGUAGGGUGCAAGCGUUAUCCGGAAUUAUUGGGCGUAAAGAGCUCGUAGGCGGUUUGUCGCGUCUGCUGUGAAACCCCGAGGCUCAACCUCGGGCCUGCAGUGGGUACGGGCAGACUAGAGUGCGGUAGGGGAGAUUGGAAUUCCUGGUGUAGCGGUGGAAUGCGCAGAUAUCAGGAGGAACACCGAUGGCGAAGGCAGAUCUCUGGGCCGUAACUGACGCUGAGGAGCGAAAGGGUGGGGAGCAAACAGGCUUAGAUACCCUGGUAGUCCACCCCGUAAACGUUGGGAACUAGUUGUGGGGUCCAUUCCACGGAUUCCGUGACGCAGCUAACGCAUUAAGUUCCCCGCCUGGGGAGUACGGCCGCAAGGCUAAAACUCAAAGGAAUUGACGGGGACCCGCACAAGCGGCGGAGCAUGCGGAUUAAUUCGAUGCAACGCGAAGAACCUUACCAAGGCUUGACAUAUACGAGAACGGGCUAGAAAUAGUCAACUCUUUGGA